rfam:Erinaceus europaeus unplaced genomic scaffold scaffold00194, whole genome shotgun sequence
GAAUGUGAGGGCGAUCUGGCUGCGACAUCUGUCACCCCAUUGAUCUCCAGGGUUGAUUCGCUGAUGUGACUGGCUAGGAGGGUGUCCCCUUCCUCCCUCACUGCUCCAUGUGAGUCCCUCCCAAAGCUGUGUGCUCUGUCAAAGGGGACUGCCUCCCCCAAAUAGAGACAGGCUGGUCUUUGGUCAAGGGAAUAGGAGUAGCUGCGCUCCCCUGCUGGAACCUCCAAACAAGCUCUCAAAGAAUUUGAGAUAUAACUACACUAUUUUGAAAGUGAUGAAAAUUAUAAUAAGAAGUGACCAUAACUACCAUUGCUUGUAGAUAUGCCAUGAUGGUAGUCAGA